UCUCCGUUGGUGAACCAGCGGAGGGAUCAUUACCGAGUUUACAACUCCCAAACCCAAUGUGAACCAUACCAAACUGUUGCCUCGGCGGGGUCACGCCCCGGGUGCGUCGCAGCCCCGGAACCAGGCGCCCGCCGGAGGGACCAACCAGACUCUUUCUGUAGUCCCCUCGCGGACGUUAUUUCUUACAGCUCUGAGCAAAAAUUCAAAAUGAAUCAAAACUUUCAACAACGGAUCUCUUGGUUCUG
rnacentral:misc_RNA from 1 species